UGAGACGCUGCAGUUCAUUUAUCUCCUCUUUAGACUACAGUAAGCUCAUAAAGCCUUAAAGAAAUUGAGGAUUUUACUAGUUAAUUUAUGUCACAGUAAAAUGGAUUGUGUGUGAAGAGGCUCAACAGUCUGAAUCAUCAAACAGUGAUCUGAUGUAUUGUUUCCUUUCUCUAGACUGCUGAUUUGAUCGUCUCAAGUCUGGUGACCUGCUGCAGAAAACCCUCUCCCUCUAUCAUUAACAAGCAAUUCAGUCUGUCCUAUCACUCUCCCUCUCCCUGCUCCAUCUUUUUUUGACAAGCCAUUCUAUCUUCUAUCAUUUCUCCGCCAUGAGCUCUAUCUAAUUUGACAAGCUUGAACCUGAGUUGAAACGCAAUCCUGUGACUUGAAAUCAAGUUUUACCAGAAUCUAAGUUUUUGGAAUUGAAGUUACCAGAACUUCGUCAAUCUGUUUUCAGAAUUCUGAGAGAUCUCCGCUCUCACUGCUCCAUCUUUCCUGUCGUUAAACUCUCUCACAUCCAGUCAUUUUGCUGGAAAUCACAAGUAGAAAGUUAAAAUUACAGUAGUAGAAUUACACUACAGUAGAACUCACAGUAGAAACUACUUACACAGUCCUACAUUUGUCAUUUUAAUUUUUACAUUAUACUUUGGAAUAAACACUGACAGUUUGGCUUACGGGUGCAGUUACUUUGAUAAAUUAUAUAAAAUACACCUUUUUCAAGGUUUGUUUGUAAUAAGAUAAUCUGGUUAUUUUGUAAUACAUACAUUCAGACUGUUAUAUUAACAUAAAUAAUAAAUUGGAUUCAAAUAUA